rnacentral:rRNA from 1 species
AGAGUUUGAUCAUGGCUCAGGAUGAACGCUAGCGGCAGGCUUAACACAUGCAAGUCGAGGGGUAACAGAGUAGCUUGCUAUUGCUGACGACCGGCGCACGGGUGCGUAACGCGUAUACAAUCUACCUUAUACUGGGGUAUAGCCUUUAGAAAUGAAGAUUAACCCCCCAUAGUCUCUUUAAGUGGCAUCACUUUUAGAGUAAAGGUUACGGUAUAAGAUGAGUAUGCGUUCUAUUAGUUUGUUGGUAAGGUAACGGCUCACCAAGACUACGAUAGAUAGGGGCCCUGAGAGGGGGAUCCCCCACACUGGUACUGAGACACGGACCAGACUCCUACGGGAGGCAGCAGUGAGGAAUAUUGGACAAUGGAGGCAACUCUGAUCCAGCCAUGCCGCGUGUAGGAUGACUGCCCUAUGGGUUGUAAACUACUUUUAUACAGGAAGAAACACCUCUACGCGUAGAGGCUUGACGGUACUGUAAGAAUAAGGAUCGGCUAACUCCGUGCCAGCAGCCGCGGUAAUACGGAGGAUCCAAGCGUUAUCCGGAAUCAUUGGGUUUAAAGGGUCCGUAGGUGGAUAAUUAAGUCAGAGGUGA